GGGCGAUUGGGCCCGAGUUUGAUCAUGGCUCAGGACGAACGCUGGCGGCGCGCUUAACACAUGCAAGUCGAACGUGAAGCCCGGGCUUGCCCGGGUGGAAAGUGGCGAACGGGUGCGUAACACGUGAGCAACCUGCCCCGAAGACCGGGAUAACACCGGGAAACCGGUGCUAAUACCGGAUGUCCUCACCAUGUCGCAUGGCAAGGUGAGGAAAUGGAUUCCGCUUCGGGAUGGGCUCGCGGCCUAUCAGCUUGUUGGUGAGGUAACGGCUCACCAAGGCAACGACGGGUAGCUGGCCUGAGAGGAUGUCCAGCCACACUGGGACUGAGACACGGCCCAGACUCCUACGGGAGGCAGCAGUGGGGAAUCUUGCACAAUGGGCGAAAGCCUGAUGCAGCGACGCCGCGUGCGGGAUGACGGCCCUCGGGUUGUAAACCGCUUUCAGCAGGGACGAUUGUGACGGUACCUGCAGAAGAAGCCCCAGCCAACUACGUGCCAGCAGCCGCGGAGCUG
rnacentral:rRNA from 1 species